rnacentral:rRNA from 1 species
ACGGAAGGCAGCAGUGGGGAGUAUUGCACAAUGGGCGAAAGCCUGAUGCAGCAACGCCGCGUGAGUGAAGAAGUAUUUCGGUAUGUAAAGCUCUAUCGAUGGGGAAUAAAAUGAAGGUACCCAAGUAAGAAGCCCCGGCUAACUACGUGCCAGCAGCCGCGGUAAUACGUAGGGGGCAAGCGUUAUCCGGAUUUACUGGGUGUAAAGGGAGCGUAGACGGAAUGUCAAGUUUGAAGUGAAAUACCUGGGCUUAACCCAGGAAUUGCUUUGAAAACUGAUAAUCUAGAGUACUGGAGGGGUAUGGGGAAUUCCUAGUGUAGUAGUGAAAUGCGUAGAUAUUAGGAAGAACACCGGAGGCGAAGGCGGCUUUCUGGACUGUAACUGACGUUGAGGCUCGAAAGUGUGGGUAGCAAACAGGAUUAGAUACCCUGGUA